UAUUAUGUAUCUUUAGAAUCUGUCAUCUGUGGCAGUCUCCCUUUCUAGCCAUGGAGGAGCAUAUUGUUGGUUAUUGGCAAAUCUGUCACCAUUUAAUUGGUAUAAGAUUCUGACUUACACAAGUAACGUUC
rnacentral:snoRNA from 1 species